GACGAACGCUGGCGGCGUGCUUAACACAUGCCAGUCGAACGGAAAGGCCCUGCUUUUGUGGGGUGCUCGAGUGGCGAACGGGUGAGUAACACGUGAGUAACCUGCCCUUGACUUUGGGAUAACUUCAGGAAACUGGGGCUAAUACCGGAUAGGAGCUCCUGCUGCAUGGUGGGGGUUGGAAAGUUUCGGCGGUUGGGGAUGGGCUCGCGGCUUAUCAGCUUGUUGGUGGGGUAGUGGCUUACCAAGGCUUUGACGGGUAGCCGGCCUGAGAGGGUGACCGGCCACAUUGGGACUGAGAUACGGCCCAGACUCCUACGGGAGGCAGCAGUGGGGAAUAUUGCACAAUGGGCGGAAGCCUGAUGCAGCAACGCCGCGUGCGGGAUGACGGCCUUCGGGUUGUAAACCGCUUUCGCCUGUGACGAAGCGUGAGUGACGGUAAUGGGUAAAGAAGCACCGGCUAACUACGUGC
rnacentral:rRNA from 1 species